CCUCGGCUGACGGCUCAGUAACACGUGGAUAAUCUGCCCUUAGGUGGAGGAUACCCUCGGGAAACUGAGAAUAAUACUCCAUAGGUCUAGGAUGCUGGAAUGCAUCUAGACUCAAAACUCCGGGUGCCUAAGGAUGAGUCUGCGGACUAUCAGGUUGUAGUCAGGGUAAUGACCUGACUAGCCUACGACGGAUACGGGUUGUGAGAGCAAUAACCCGGAGAUGAUAUCUGAGACACGAUAUCAGGCCCUACGGGGCGCAGCAGGCGCGAAAACUUCACACUGUGCGAAAGCACGAUGAGGGAAUCCCAAGUGCUUGCUCGUAAGAGUAAGCUGUUUCUUUGUUUAAAAUGCAUUGAGAGUAAGGGCUGGGUAAGACGGGUGCCAGCCGCCGCGGUAAUACCUGCAGCUCAAGUGGUGGCCGCUAUUAUUGGGCCUAAAACGUCCGUAGCCGGUUUAAUAAAUGCCUGGGUAAAUCGUGUAGCUCAACUAUACGAAUUCCGGGUAGACUGUUAAGCUUGAGACCGGGAGAAGUUAGAGGUACUCCUGGGGUAGAGGUGAAAUUCUGUAAUCCUAGGGGGACCACCAGUGGCGAAAGGCGUCUGACUAGAACGGGUCUGACGG
rnacentral:rRNA from 1 species